UGGGGGAUAUUGCACAAUGGGGGAAACCCUGAUGCAGCGACGCCGCGUGAGUGAAGAAGUAUUUCGGUAUGUAAAGCUCUAUCAGCAGGGAAGAGAAAUGACGGUACCUGACUAAGGAGCCCCGGCUAACUACGUGCCAGCAGCCGCGGUAAUACGUAGGGGCAAGCGUUAUCCGGAUUUACUGGGUGUAAAGGGAGCGUAGACGGCGAUGCAAGUCUGAAGUGAGAGGCGGGGGCCCAACCCCCGGACUGCUUUGGAAACUGUAUGGCUGGAGUGCAGGAGAGGUAAGUGGAAUUCCUAGUGUAGCGGUGAAAUGCGUAGAUAUUAGGAGGAACACCAGUGGCGAAGGCGGCUUACUGGACUGUAACUGACGUUGAGGCUCGAAAGCGUGGGGAGCAAACAGG
rnacentral:rRNA from 1 species